rnacentral:rRNA from 1 species
AUCAUCGAAUCUUUGAACGCAUCUUGCGCCUUUUGGUAUUCCUAAAGGCACACCUGUUUGAGUG